GUUAUUCGAAGUGGAAGAUUUCGUACAAUCCACACGCCGAUGGUACUGACAGGGGAAUCCCGAGAGAUGCAGGAGAGUUGUACGCCUGCCGAAUAAC
ncrna:unclassified sequences skipping-rope RNA